rnacentral:rRNA from 1 species
UGCAGAGGGUGCAAGCGUUGUUCGGAAUUAUUGGGCGUAAAGCGCGUGUAGGCGGCUUUGCAAGUCGGGUGUGAAAGCCCUCAGCUCAACUGGAGGAAGUGCGCCCGAAACUGCAGAGCUUGAGUGCCGGAGAGGGUGGCGGAAUUCCCCAAGUAGAGGUGGAAAUUCGUAGAUAUGGGGAGGAACACCGGUGGCGAAAGGCGGCCACCUGGACGGUAACUGACGCUGAGACGCGAAGCGUGGGGAGCAAACAGGAUUGAGAA